UGAGAUUUUGUGAUUCGGUUCCGGUUGG
rnacentral:piRNA from 1 species